CAAGAUUAUCUCCUCUCCUCAUUUUUGCGGUUCGAUAUCGAGCACAGAAAUCCCACAGAAAUAUACCAAAAAUAAUAAACGUUCACACUUACAUAUAGAAGCACUAUUCCUCGACUUUGAUCUUCUAUUUGAUAUUACUAGCUAGUUUUGAAAAUGUGUGAAAAUUUAAUAAAAGGUUAAAAAAACAAUGCAAGAAAAAUGGAUCCGUGCAGGAGAUUACUUUUAGUGGGAUUGGCGGCUCUAUCAUUACCGGUGGAGAAGGACAAUCAACGAAAUGAGCGCCGACAACAUUGAGUAAACCCAUUUCUGCAGGAAAGAAACCAGGAGGUUCUUCGACCGUUUGUCCAUAUGUUAAUGUGAGUAUAUAAAUAUCUGACAAUACCCUUUACACAUCCCGUAGUGUUUAGGUAAGAUUCAAUGUAUGGUAUGAUUCUCAAAAGGAAAACAACCUAAAAUAUGUUGUUAACAGGUCUGUUUCUUGGCAACAAGAAGUUACUGGCGUUCAAAUAAGUAAAACAUAUUAAAAUUGCAAAUAAAUUCAAUUUAAUCUCAUUAAUCUAUAAUGACUGUUUCCUUUUCUUGACGUUUGAUGGCCUUAAGUUCGUUGAGACGCACGGUGGUCAUUAUCUUUCCACUUCAGCGGCAUUUUUGCCUCCAUUUUAUUGAGACUUUACUUUCUGUUUGCUAGGUACCUCGCGGAAAUAAAGCAGAUCUAUAUUUGUCGAGCUGAAGUAUAUCGAUUCUUGCAGUGAUAUUACCGACAUUUUUUAAAUAUAUGACAUCCCUAGCCGAGUCACCAAUGUGACCGCGAAACUAACGAUAUAAAAUACUGUCAGACCCUCAAAAAUAUAAAAAAAAAUGCAAUUUCUCAUUUGAAAAAUAUACCGUAAUCUUAAAUCUUUUGAUAUAUUUGUUCUCUAUGGUGUUCUAUCGAUUUAGCCCAAUUAUUUUGAGGAUAUCUAAAAUUGGUUAUGAUUAUAAAUAGCAUCUUCGGAAUAGUCCGCCUUUUUUUGUCGCCAAGUAAAAACUGACAUUUAUAUCGUCUCGUUCAACGUGAAGCCCACAGAUGGCGCCAAAGCCUUGAGUUUUGUUUCGCGCUCCUGCACAAAUUUAAAAUACACAUUUAAUCCCUCGUAAGGAAGGAAUCGUUUCGAUUAUGUAAUUUUUUAGAUAUGUAAGGAAAGUAAUAUCACAUUCUAUUUUUGGUAUCCGUUCGGCAUACAACUCUUUUUGGAGUUCAAAAUUUUCAGUAAAAUAUAUUUUUCAUAUAAAAAAUGUUUUCAUUAGAAACAUUCCCAUAACAUAAACUGAAGUACCUGGUCAAUGCGGAUUCAUCGUCGGGUGACCAUCCAAUUUCGCUGUACCUAUGCAAUACAAACAAAAUUUUAAAAAAGUAAUGUCAGUACUGUCAUGUACAAAAGCUCAAACUAGAAAGUAACAGAAGAUAUAAAGCAUUGUAUAUCCCCUGUUGGGCAUAGCCUAAUGAAUCAAGAACGUCACGUCUAGGGUGAUUCCGAUCUGAUUUUAAUUAGUUUGUUUUUUUGCUGGUGGGUGGGCCUAUAUAAUCUCGGUAGAUUUCCUUGAAAUGCCAUAAUUCUCUGAACAACAGCAAUAUCAGCAUCAGGAGCAAUAUUCGCUUUCACCUGUAACGGGUAACCCAUGUAUACGCAAGAUGUUAUUCCUAGCACUGGACGGCAGGCUAAUAUUUGUUCCGGCUGCGGCUCGUCGGCUACGAGUGUGGUGUUCUUGUCCUUAGCUAAGGCCUACCUUAUUAUUACUUUAAAUAAAUUGAAACGUGCAUACAAAAAGCCAUAAACGCCUAAAACGGAAGACUAUAACUAUAGGUGUAAAACGGACAACGGACAGCAUACCUCUGAUGUUGGUUAGGCACAGCUACGCCCACCCUAUCUUGGUCUUGAAUUCGCCAAAAAAAAAAAUAUUAAUUUCAAGACCCCUUUGUCUUUGAGGGGCCUACAGGGGCUUGCUGUAAGAGUUCAGGCACUAUAAAUAUUUAUUUAAUUCUAAUAAACAUUAAUUAUAAAUUUCCCAAAAAAAAUAGUUCCCAUAAUUUUUACUGUAAUAAUAAAUGUAAUAAAUGUUGCUUAAGAUAAACUAAAUUUAAAGAUUAUGAUUUUCUAAGAUUACAGAGAAGUAAAAGAAAAUAUAAUUAAAAGCACAAUAAAUGCACAUCUGAGAGGGGAAAAUAGACAAGGGUGAAGGCAUGGGAAGCAAGACCGAAAAUGUGGAGACAAAAAAAAAAACAGCUGCAAACAUGCACUUGCACUGCUAAACCCUAUAUUUUUAGUGGGAAGGGUAUAUGUGUUUUCGUGUUUUCUUUCUUCUUUUUUCCUAUUCGGCCUUACUUACGGAGCACUUCGCCCAAACAAGAAAUAAUUGCAAUUGUACAUAUUUAAUUACUCACAGUCGGUACCUCCGAUAGCGAUAUCUAAUGGCGUCCUGCCGACCUCUAUUUAAAGCCUAUCUCUAUUCGAAAUUUGCCUUCGAACUCGCUCUUCUUUUGAUCGACUUGUCUCUGCUUUCUCUGCUCUCCAUAUCUUUGCUUAUUCGCUUCCUCCGCUAAUUUAUAAAGAGAACUAUGCCCGUAUUGGUACGCCUGCAGUGCCUAUUUUUCGGCGGAUCCCAAAAACAAAUCUUUCUCACAAAGCAGCUACACGCCUCACCGUACACACCCCAGAAAUACUCAAUCACUAUCAUCAUGAACUUCUACAAUAUCUUCGUCUUCGUUGCCCUGAUCCUGGUCAUCGGAGUGGGACAGUCGGAGGCCGGUUUGUUGAAAAAGAUACAAUUAUUCAGAAUCUAUACUAUAUAAUUAAUAACAGGAACGCGUUGGGCAGCACACUCGGGAUGCCACCAUCCAAGGUCUGGGAGUUGCUCAUUAUGCUGCCAAUGUAGCAGCCACUGUUCGAGGGUGACGGAACUUUUGGGUCCCAAAGCUUAUUAUAAACAUUUAUUAUUUUAAUAAUCGGUAUUUUUUGAAUAAAGCAAAUAAACUAAUGUGAAGUUAAUUACAUGUUUAUAAGAAUUUGGUUAUCUAGAAUUCUGCACUUCAGUUGGCUUAUGCCACUUGUUACCUCAACAACAAUUGAGGCCAGCAAGAGAAAUGCCCAUUUGAUUUCAGUUAUUUGUUUUAUGUUUUGUGACACCUGAAGAAUUCCUUGAAAUGUCAUUAUUCUCUGAACAACAGCAAUAUCAGCAUCAGGAGCAACUUUUGCUUACACCCCAGAAUUACUCAACCACUCAACCAUAUGUUUAAAGCUGUCGUUUAUAACUCGAAAACACUCUUGGACCUGUAAGAUACUUAGAAUUGUAUAUAUAAAAUAAAUAAAUAAAUAAUACAAUAAAAUAAACUCCUGUAUCUAAUUGUUAGGAACAAUUGUAAAUACAUAUAUGUACAUAUUUGCUUUUGAAUUCCCGUCUUAUUUUCCACUUUUCCAGUUUUAUCUCGAAAUGAAUAACAGAAAAUUUCAUAUCGCCCCAGCUAUGUACUUACAUAUGUACAUAUGUAUGUACAUAUCGACGGUGAUUCCGAUCCGAUUCGGUCUCGUGUACUUUUUUGCUAAACAAACCCCCGUUCGCACCUUAUCAGCAUCGCAUCGCUUGGAGCUGACGGCAUGACGGAGGGCGCUAUAUAAGAUCGGUAGAUUGACUGGAAAAAGCAUCAGACGUUCAGUUAACUCCAAAGACAACAUAUAAUCAGCGCAUCUCGCUUUCUAUAACGCAAGAAAUAUACUUAGAAAAUUUCAUCAUGAACUUCUACAAGAUCUUCUUCGUCGUUGCCAUCAUCCUGGCCAUCGGGAUGGGGCAGUCGGAGGCCGGUUGGCUAAAGAAAAUUGGCAAGAAAAUAGUAAGACGUUUGCAUAAUAUACAAAUUUUUCAAAAUCUAAACCAUAACAUUAUUGACAGGAACGCGUUGGCCAGCACACUAGGGAUGCCACCAUCCAGGGACUGGGCAUUGCUCAACAAGCAGCCAAUGUGGCAGCCACAGCUAAAGGCUGAGGUCUCCUAAUUACAAAUAAUUGUAUUAAUAUUAUUAAAAUGUAUUUCAUAACCUGAGUAAAGUUACACAUUUAACAUUGAAGCAAUCCAUUUAAUGCUUCCUAAUCCUCGAGUUCAAUAUUUCUUCAUACAUUCUAUAUGUUUUAAUGGCCAUAUCUAUCUGCGUGUUUUCUUUGUACAUUAAUGUGCCUUAUACGUUCCGAGAUAGUUUUACUUGCCUGUUACGUAGACAUCCUACUAAAAUAUUCGUCUGAAAGAAAAAGUUAACGAACUCGUCGAAUAACCUAUUUUCAGAUGUCAUAUUUAGUAAGUUUUCCAGUUUUCCAGUUUUUACAUCAAAUGAGGGAUGAAGAGAGACUGUUCAGACCAGCAGUUUAACUUCAAAAUAAUUGAUAUAUUUUCAUAAACCUAAUUCUCUGACAUAAGUAAAUAAAAUGCAUUUAAUUGAAAC
rnacentral:lncRNA from 1 species